GCCGGUAUAGCUCAGUUGGUAGAGCAACUGAUUCGUAAUCAGCAGGUCAGAGGUUCGAUUCCUCUUAUCGGCU
rnacentral:tRNA from 1 species